rnacentral:lncRNA from 1 species
UGAACUCUAAUAAAUGAAGAAAUAAAAAAGUUGUACUCGGGUGUGAAAGAACAACAACAGGGAGAAAAUUGAAGAUAAAAAAAGGAAAAUAACCUCAUAUUUACACGUUACAAGUCACAAGUGGGGUUGUAUCUCAAUUAGAUCUGAAUGAAAAAUGACCAAAAUCACUUCAUUCGUAGUUAAGUUAGUGAAGGAUGAUGAGCCGUAAUUCACAAGCAAUGCAUUGCAACAUGUAAUUACCUUCGCACUGCGUCAGUCGGCGGCUUUUUCUAUCUCAUGGAUCGGAGACCUUUGUCACUUUCCCCGUCCGUCCGUACUGCUCUUCUUUCCGAGUAUACAAAGCCACGAACCUCUUCUUUUUGGCGUGUCAAUGUGAAAUGCGCUGGUUGCCUCCAGCUGUUCAAAAGAAAAAAAAAAGGAAAAGAGGCUUAAAAGCACCCCCAUCAAUCAGUAUUUUCCCCGAAUCAUCAGCUUGAAGUUUUGUCCAUGAAGCCUUUAUUCACUCACAUUCAACAAGCUCUGUGCAGCAUGCGCAUCAUCGGAUCGAGAAAUUGACGAGAGAUACCGUAAUUCUUGUCUUCGACGAAAACAAUUAUCAGAAAUUAACAUCUGCUUGUCAAGGCUACUGUGUAGGAAAUGGUAAGUGGUAAUAGUAGGGAGCUAUUUGGGAGACGUAGGAUGGAUGCUUUCACAAGAAAAUGAAGAGGAGGAGCUAUCGAAGUCAUCAGUGAAAGCGCAGGUUCUUUCAAAGUUUUUGGGCCCUAAACUAAGGAGAAAAAGAAAGACUUGCCUCAUCCGUGCGGGAAAGAAACAAAAAAGAAUGCACUUCGCUCUAAGUGUUUUGGCG